UACGAAGGGGGCUAGCGUUGCUCGGAAUCACUGGGCGUAAAGCGCACGUAGGCGGAUCUUUAAGUCAGGGGUGAAAUCCUGGAGCUCAACUCCAGAACUGCCUCUGAUACUGGGGAUCUUGAGUCCGGGAGAGGUGAGUGGAACUGCGAGUGUAGAGGUGAAAUUCGUAGAUAUUCGCAAGAACACCAGUGGCGAAGGCGGCUCACUGGCCCGGUACUGACGCUGAGGUGCGAAAGCGUGGGGAGCAAACAGG
rnacentral:rRNA from 1 species